AUGUAAAUUUUUGUGUGAAUUUUUAUUUAUUUUAUAAUAAAUAAAAUUUAUUAUAUUCGCAAUAAUUAAUAUUAUUAAUUAAAGAAAUUUAGGUAUAGUAAUAUUAAAGAGUAUUGGUUAAAAUUUGUGCCAGCAACCGCGGUUAUACGAAUAAUGCAAUAAAUUUUUUUAGUUUAAGUUAAUUGUAUAUAUAUAUUAAAUAAAUUAAUUUAUAAGGUGAAAUUUUAAAUUUAUUAGAUUUUUAUAAUAUUUAACUGAUACUUGAAAAUUUUAAAUAUAAACUAGGAUUAGAUACCCUAUUAUUUAAAAUGUAAAUUAAAAAAACUUAGGUAGUAAUAGUUAUGUUCUUGAAACUUAAAAAAUUUGGCGGUAUUUUAGUCUAUUCAGAGGAACCUGUUUUAUAAUCGAUAAUCCACGAUGGACCUUACUUAAGUUUGUUAUCAGUUUAUAUACCGUCGUUAUUAGAAUAUUUUAUAAGAAAGAUAAUUCUAAAUAAUUUUUAAAUAAAAAGUACUAUAGCAUAAAGGUGCAGUUUAUAUUAAGUAAAAAUGGGCUAAAAUAAAAUUAUUAUAUGAAUAUAAAUUUGAAAUAUUUAUUGAAGGUGGAUUGAUAGUAAAAUUAUAAAGAUUAAUAAUUGAUUUAGCUCUAAAAUAUGCACACAUCGCCCGUCACUCUAUUAUUAAGGUAAGAUAAGUCGUAACAUAGUAGAUGUA
rnacentral:rRNA from 1 species